rnacentral:tRNA from 1 species
AGGUCCGUAGCUCAAUUGGUAGAGCACCGGUCUCCAAAACCGGCGGUUCAGGGUUCGAGUCCCUGCGGGCCUG